CCUACGGGAGGCAGCAGUGGGGAAUAUUGCACAAUGGGGGGAACCCUGAUGCAGCGACGCCGCGUGAGUGAAGAAGUAUUUCGGUAUGGAAAGCUCUAUCAGCAGGGAAGAAGAUGACGGUACCUGACUCAGAAGCACCGGCUAACUACGUGCCAGCAGCCGCGGUAAUACGUAGGGGGCAAGCGUUAUCCGGAUUUACGGGGUGUAAAGGGAGAGUAGACGGCAGGGCAAGUCUGGAGUGAAAGCCCGGGGCCCAACCCCGGGACUGCGUUUGAAACUGCCAGGCUAGAGUGCUGGAGAGGUAAGCGGAAUUCCUAGUGUAGCGGUGAAAUGCGUAGAUAUUAGGAGGAACACCAGUGGCGAAGGCGGCUUACUGGACAGUAACUGACGUUGAGGCUCGAAAGCGUGGGGAGCAAACAGGAUUAGAUACCCGGGUAGUC
rnacentral:rRNA from 1 species